ACACGACUACAUUAGAUACCCGUGUAGUCCCAGCCGUAAACUAUGCUCGCUAGGUGUCAGGGACGGUGCGACCGUUUCUGGUGCCGCAGGGAAGCCGUGAAGCGAGCCACCUGGGAAGUACGGUCGCAAGGCUGAAACUUAAAGGAAUUGGCGGGGGAGCACAACAACGGGUGGAGCUUGCGGUUUAAUUGGAUUCAACGCCGGAAAUCUUACCGGGACCGACAGCAACAUGAAAGGCCAAGCUGAAGACUUUGCCGGAUUUAGCUG
rnacentral:rRNA from 1 species